rnacentral:rRNA from 1 species
UACGUAGGGUGCGAGCGUUGUCCGGAAUUACUGGGCGUAAAGAGCUCGUAGGUGGUUUGUCGCGUUGUUCGUGAAAACUCACAGCUCAACUGUGGGCGUGCGGGCGAUACGGGCAGACUGGAGUACUGCAGGGGAGACUGGAAUUCCUGGUGUAGCGGUGGAAUGCGCAGAUAUCAGGAGAACACCGGUGGCGAAGGCGG